AUACUGUAUAUUAUUAUUGUAGUGACGUUCAGUUAAUAUGAACAAAACCUCUCCUUUUCCUUAAAAGGUACAGUGGGUAAUAAGGGGUAUCAAGGAGGGGCAAAGGGCUGUUCUUUGAGCAUUAAUACAGUUUCUUGUCACAAACAAAACAUCUUUACUUUGUCACCUAACAGACCAACAGCAGGGAAACCAA